rnacentral:rRNA from 1 species
AGCGAACGCUGGCGGCAGGCCUAACACAUGCAAGUCGAACGAACUCUUCGGAGUUAGUGGCGGACGGGUGAGUAACACGUGGGAACGUGCCUUUUGGUUCGGCAUAACUCAGGGAAACUUGUGCUAAUACCGAAUGUGCCCUUCGGGGGAAAGAUUUAUCGCCAUUAGAGCGGCCCGCGUCUGAUUAGCUAGUUGGUGAGGUAACGGCUCACCAAGGCGACGAUCAGUAGCUGGUCUGAGAGGAUGACCAGCCACACUGGGACUGAGACACGGCCCAGACUCCUUCGGGAGGGAGCAGUGGGGAAUCUUGCGCAAUGGGCGAAAGCCUGACGCAGCCAUGCCGCGUGAAUGACGAAGGUCUUAGGAUUGUAAAAUUCUUUCACCGGGGACGAUAAUGACGGUACCCGGAGAAGAAGCCCCGGCUAACUUCGUGC